AGAGAAAGAAAAAAUUAUUCACUUUUAACUUUUUAUAAAUUAUUACAACUGUAAAGGUCAAAUAUUUGGUAUGCAUUUGCAGCUGGCCUCCUUUUCUCCAAGAUCCCUGAAAUACAAAAUGUAGGCACCCAAUUAGCUUCAGAUUUCACAUAAUAGGCCAACCAGUUUGAAUGAAAGUCCUCAUGUCCAAUGUUAUUUUUAGGACAUUCAACAUGAAAGUGAUUCUAUUUACUGUAAACGUAUGACUUUCUGGGGGGGAAAAACUGCACUACUUUUGAAAAAUACAUAACCAAAACAAAUUAAUUACAACGUUUUUUAAGCUACAGCCUCCACUUUGAAUACCCUUUUCCAUUAUGUUUGAGUUAAUUUUCUUUUCUACCAUAAGAGGAACUACUAAUUUUUGCUGUUAAACAGUGGUGUAGUCUAUGUGAUACGGUGGCAUACGCUUUAUGCCCACUAGAAACGCUUGGGAAUUUCCUAUAACUACUUAAAUCCCAAAUUAUGUGAUAAUCUGUGUGUAUCCAGCGCGUAUUUUUCACAUUGGCUUAUGGUGAUCAGCGCGGUCACCUGCUGCGGUAAACUUCUCCUUCUUUCCAUUAAAUCUGAGGCUCACCUCUAUUGGCUGAGAGCAAGGCUCCCUGCUCUGUGAUUGGUUUCGUAUUCAGCUGCUCCUCUCUGAUUGGCUGAGAACAUGGAGGGAAAAGAUUCGACAGAGUAGAGUCGAAAGACGCAGCAGUCGGAGCGUUUUCAAUGAUUACAAUAACAGACUGAAAAUGACGAGAAAACAAGCUACUUUUUUAAUAAACCAUCUGCGCCUAGUCACAGAAGCAGCAGCUUAGAAGAACCUGCCAUUUUGACAGCCGAAACCAUCGACAAUCGGGUUGAUAUCAGCGUUACCCUGAUCAGGCAGGCAGGGAGAGUGAGGAGACUGAUUAUGAGAGAAAGCUCCAGGCGGAGGGAGACAUGCAGGCGCGGUGUGACAGCACAGCUGGGCGCCUGAUGUGACUCACACCGCUGAGACUGGAUGCAGGAGGCCCGAGGCGGAGCUUCACAUCGUGGCAGAGCCGGGGGAGCCGUGCAGCAGUUCUCUCCUGGUGUGACUUGCACUGUGCACAGAGCUGACGCGCCGUUUAUCACCAUCUCGCUGAUGGUGUGUGGAUGUUGAUGGGCCACCUGUCCUCCCUAUGGGCCACUCAGCUAAGUGAUUCAGCAGUGGCCUCAUUAGAGAAGCUUAUUGCCUUAAUGCAGCCCAAACACAACAACUCAAGAUGGAGCUGCUCCAAAGUAACUGCACUGUAAAACAUUUACAGGUGGUUUAACCUGAAAAUUAAAGCCCACCUGCUGCCUUGAAAAUGUAAUUUAAUCAACAAGAAAACUGUUUUGGUUUUAACUCAGAAAUUUAAGUUUAUAAAGUUGGUUUAACAAGAGAGAAGUUGUCUAAACAUUGUUUCUUAACUUCAUUCAUCUUGAAUUGUGAGUUUUAACUUAA